CUCGUCCAGCUCUCCCUUCCCUUGCGCAGCAAGCUCUGCGCGAACCCCGCCCCUUCAGCAGCCCUGUGGCUGCAAGGAAGCCUGUCGGACCGCCUGCCUUUCCCUGGAGCCAGAGCGGCCGGGUGUGGAUCCCGUCCUCCAAAAUAGGCGGUAAUCUCAUCCUCUCAAGGACUCUGCCUGUCCAAGCUGCCCAUCCUCCAGAGCACCACGCAAGGCAGAGAAAACAAAGAAUUUUGUCAGCUGAAGUCUUGUUGUGGGAAAAGUCCUCUCCACAGUGGACAUGGCCACAGGAGUCCAGGCGUGGGUAACAAUUUCAGGAGCUGAGCUUCCUGAGCCACAAUUGGUGUAGUGUGGCUGGGCGUACUGUUGAGAUAAAGGUGGCCACUUGGCCAUACCCAGGGAACAUUUCUGCACCCUUCCUACUGCAGGAUCUCAUCCAUCUGCAUCCCCAGUGUGCUGUGGAUGAUGGUGAGUGGAACAUAGGGAU